ensembl:snRNA U6 U6 spliceosomal RNA
GUGUUCACUUAGGCAGCACAUAUACUAAAAUUGAAACAAGUGAGAGAAGAUUAACAUGGCCCCUGCACAAAGAUAAGAUGCUAAGUGUAAUAUGGCCAGUUACU